rnacentral:rRNA from 1 species
CUGAUCCAGCCAUGCCGCGUGUGUGAAGAAGGCCUUAUGGUUGUAAAGCACUUUAAGCGAGGAGGAGGCUACUUUAGUUAAUACCUAGAGAUAGUGGACGUUACUCGCAGAAUAAGCACCGGCUAACUCUGUGCCAGCAGCCGCGGUAAUACAGAGGGUGCGAGCGUUAAUCGGAUUUACUGGGCGUAAAGCGUGCGUAGGCGGCUUAUUAAGUCGGAUGUGAAAUCCCCGAGCUUAACUUGGGAAUUGCAUUCGAUACUGGUGAGCUAGAGUAUGGGAGAGGAUGGUAGAAUUCCAGGUGUAGCGGUGAAAUGCGUAGAGAUCUGGAGGAAUACCGAUGGCGAAGGCAGCCAUCUGGUCUAAUACUGACGCUGAGGUACGAAAGCAUGGGGAGCAAACAGGAUUAUAUACCCUGGUAGUCCAUGCCGUACACGAUGUCUACUAGCCGUUGGGGCCUUUGAGGCUUUAGUGGCGCAGCUAACGCGAUAAGUACACCGCCUGGGGAGUACGGUCGCAAGACUAACACUCAUAUGAAUUGACGGGGGCCCGCACAAGCGGUGGAGCAUGUGGUUUAAUUCGAUGCAGCGCGAAGAAUCUUACCUGGUCUUGACAUACUAGAAACUUUCCAGAGAUGGAUUGGUGCCUUCGGGAAUCUAGAUACAGGUGCUGCAUGUCUCUUCGUCAAAAAC